UCCCCAGUGGCUCAGUGGUAAAGAAUCUGCCUGUCAAGCAGGAGUUACGGGUUUGAUCCCUGGGUAGGGAA
rnacentral:tRNA from 1 species